AUUGACCUUUCCUCUCUACCAAGUUGACUUACUACUCCAGGUCUUCAAAUAAUUAAAGAAACACAACCUAAAUGUAUGACAUGGUCACUCACCCAAUUCUAAGUACACUUCCUAAUACACUAGAUAAGGCUUUUCUAAGAAGUGACCCAAAAUGAAUAAGUCAUGUUUUUGAACAUUUCUCUUAUUGAGAAAGAAAGAAGAGUUGUCAGAUAUAAGAUAGCCUUGGAAUGAUGUGAUUUUAUUUUGUGUGAUUCUGCUUUGCUGAUAAAAGCUGAAUUUUUUGUUUAUGUAUACCCACUGGAGAGCCAGUUUGGAGUUACAUUUGUUAGAUGUGGGAAGUGCAAAACAAGCCAUUAAACCUGCUAAAAUGGAUGAUACACAAAUAAAAGGUAUGUUUCUUUU